UACGAAGGGACCUAGCGUAGUUCGGAAUUACUGGGCUUAAAGAGUUCGUAGGUGGUUGAAAAAGUUGGUGGUGAAAUCCCAGAGCUUAACUCUGGAACUGCCAUCAAAACUUUUCAGCUAGAGUAUGAUAGAGGAAAGCAGAAUUUCUAGUGUAGAGGUGAAAUUCGUAGAUAUUAGAAAGAAUACCAAUUGCGAAGGCAGCUUUCUGGAUCAUUACUGACACUGAGGAACGAAAGCAUGGGUAGCGAAGAGGAUUAGAUACCCUCGUAGUCCAUGCCGUAAACGAUGUGUGUUAGACGUUGGAAAUUUAUUUUCAGUGUCGCAGCGAAAGCGAUAAACACACCGCCUGGGGAGUACGACCGCAAGGUUAAAACUCAAAUGAAUUGACGGGGACCCGCACAAGUAGUGGAGCAUGUGGUUUAAUUCGAAGAUACGCGCAGAACCUUACCAACACUUGACAUGUUCGUCGCGACUCUAAGAGAUUAGAGUUUUCGGUUCGGCCGGACGAAACACAGGUGCUGCAUGGCUGUCGUCAGCUCGUGUCGUGAGAUGUUGGGUUAAGUCCCGCAACGAGCGCAACCCUCACUUUUAGUUGCCAUCAUUAAGUUGGGCACUCUGAAAGAACUGCCAGUGAUAAGCUGGAGGAAGGUGGGGAUGACGUCAAGUCCUCAUGGCCCUUACGUGUUGGGCUACGCACGUGCUACAAUGGUAUCUACAACAGGAAGCAAGACUGCGAAGUUAAGCAAAUCCCUAAAAGAUACCUCAGUUCGGAUUGCACUCUGCAACUCGAGUGCAUGAAGCUGGAAUUACUAGUAAUCGUGGAUCAGCGUGCCACGGUGAAUGCGUUCCCGGGUCU
rnacentral:rRNA from 1 species